GCCUGAUGCAGAGUUCGAACUCAGGAACCACCAGAUGAUGACCUGAGCCGAAGUCAGAUGCUUAACCGACUAAGCCACCCAGGUGCCCCAUUUCAACCAUUUCGAAGUGUGCAUUUGAGUGGUAUUGAGUGUGUCACCAUCCAUGGAGGGGUGGUUUUGAAAGGGCAUCCCUGGACUUAGUGAGAUCUCAGCCACGAGCAUGAGGCUGAGGUCAAGGCUGCAGCUGCUUCCUUCACGUGUGGGCGCUCACCAGUCUGUAGCGGAGCAAGGAGUCUGGAGCUCUUAUGCUUGACUCUCCAACCUCGUUACUGGAGGUGCCCACUGCCUCUGGUGCACCCCAGGCCCCUGAGCCUCGUGGCUUUCAAGGGUUCACCAAGCUCCCGUGUGCAGGAGUGCAGCGGACACACCGUCCUGUGUUCCAGGUGGGUGGAGAGGAGGAGGUGAUAUUGAUGGAGGCCACGCACGACACUCCCAGAGCUCCACAGCUCAUCCCAGGCCUUUUCCUGAGGCUGCCGGAACCUUCUUUGGAGCUCUCUGAAGGUCCAGCGUGCCUGGGACUCCAGGCGAGUCAGCUACUGGCUGGGCCCAGCCUCUCUCCCUACAGAAGAGGGCACGGAAGAGUUUAGAGAAUAAGAAGCAAGCUCUGCAUGUCCACCUGGGUCAGGAAAUGGAACGGUGUCUCAGCUCCUGGGAAACCCCCGUCUUUCCUUCGUGGCCCCUCUGUCUUCCCAGAGGUCACAGCCUCCCGACAUGUGGCAGUCUUUGACACAUUCGUUAUUUCAUUGGCUUCUGAAGACCAGGAGUCAAGGCACAGCCCAACCAAGUUCUCCCUCACAGGCUGCAAUCGAGGGGUCUCCUCUGGGGCUGUUCUGGAGAAGGGUCCACACUCACAUGGUUGCUGGCAGCAUUUAGCUACCUUCUGGGUGUCAACAAGAGGUCCACUCCAUGGGGCAGCCACAGCAUGGCAGCUUGCUGCUUCAAGCCAGCAAGGGAGACCGUCUCCAAGCAAGAGAGGCGUUAUUAAUCAUGGAAGCGACAUCCAGUCCCCUUUCAGAAUUUUGUGGGUUAAAAGCAAGCCGUAGCAUCCACUAGCAUUGCCACAGUUCAAAAAAGAAAAAAAAGGGAAAAGGAAGAAAGAAAAUAUAAUUGCUAGUGAAGAUGUGGAGGAACUGGAACCCUAAAUACUGCUGGUGGAACAGAGAAUAGGUCAGCUGCUGUGGAGAAGAGUCCGGCAAUGAGUUCCUCAACGCGUUGGAAUUCUGUAACCCAACAACUACAUUCCUAGAUACAUACCCAAGAGAACUGAAAGCAAGAACUCCGAUACUUGUGCACACACGUUUAGAGCUGCAUUUUUCACAAUAGCCAGAGGGUGAAAACAACCAAAUAUCCAUCAGCAGCUGGAUGGAUAGACAGAAGGAAGACAAAAUA